rnacentral:misc_RNA from 1 species
UCAACAUGUGGUGGAGAAUUUGUCUCAAAUGGACAGUGAAGAUAUAUUCUCUUUCACCUCCUUAAAAUGGAGGGCUAGGAUCAAGUCUCCUAGAAAUACGUGUACCUCCUUAAAUGUGUGGCCAAUAUUGUUCCGUAUCCACCUCCUCAAAUAUGUGGUGGAGGAAACUUUCUUGAUGUGCUUUUCCAUGGUGGAGAAAUAUGUUUUUAG